rnacentral:rRNA from 1 species
UUUUCCGUAGGUGAACCUGCGGAGGGAUCAUUACACAAAUAUGAAGGCGGGCUGGAACCUCUCGGGGUUACAGCCUUGCUGAAUUAUUCACCCUUGUCUUUUGCGUACUUCUUGUUUCCUUGGUGGGUUCGCCCACCACUAGGACAAACAUAAACCUUUUGUAAUUGCAAUCAGCGUCAGUAACAAAUUAAUAAUUACAACUUUCAACAACGGAUCUCUUGGUUCUGGCAUCGAUGAAGAACGCAGCGAAAUGCGAUAAGUAGUGUGAAUUGCAGAAUUCAGUGAAUCAUCGAAUCUUUGAACGCACAUUGCGCCCUUUGGUAUUCCAAAGGGCAUGCCUGUUCGAGCGUCAUUUGUACCCUCAAGCUUUGCUUGGUGUUGGGCGUCUUGUCUCUAGCUUUGCUGGAGACUCGCCUUAAAGUAAUUGGCAGCCGGCCUACUGGUUUCGGAGCGCAGCACAAGUCGCACUCUCUAUCAGCAAAGGUCUAGCAUCCAUUAAGCCUUUUUUCAACUUUUGACCUCGGAUCAGGUAGGGAUACCCGCUGAACUUAAGCAUAUCAAUAAGC